GAAGCACGGUCUUCGCAGCGCACAGACGGGGAGCUUGCUCCCAAAGAUGCUGCGAGGAAAGUCCCCGUGUCUUGGUGCAGAGAGUGCGUGUGGG
rnacentral:RNase_MRP_RNA from 14 species